rnacentral:rRNA from 1 species
UACGGAGGAUCCGAGCGUUAUCCGGAAUCAUUGGGUUUAAAGGGUCCGUAGGCGGAUAGUUAAGUCAGCGGUGAAAGUCUGCAGCUCAACUGUAGAAUUGCCGUUGAUACUGGUUAUCUUGAAUCAAAUUGAAGUGGCUGGAAUAUGUGGUGUAGCGGUGAAAUGCAUAGAUAUCACGAGGAACUCCGAUUGCGCAGGCAGCUUACUAAACUACUACUGACGCUCAGGCACGAAGUCGUGGGGAUCAAACAGGA